rnacentral:vault_RNA from 1 species
GCAUCGGUUUAGCUCAAUGGUUCCCUCUGCACCAAACUAUCUAAUGGACCGCGAAUUCCAGGGUACGACCAUGGGCGCUGUCCGAUGUUUUC